UUAGAGGUGUUCCAUAACCCC
rnacentral:snRNA from 1 species